rnacentral:rRNA from 1 species
GAUGAACGCUAGCGGCAGGCUUAAUACAUGCAAGUCGAGGGGCAGCAUAAGUAGCAAUACUUGAUGGCGACCGGCAAACGGGUGCGGAACACGUACGCAACCUUCCUUUAAGUGGGGAAUAGCCCGGGGAAACCCGGAUUAAUACCCCGUAAUAUUAUGAUGUGGCAUCACAUUAUAAUUAUAGAUUCAUCGCUUAAAGAUGGGCGUGCGCCUGAUUAGGUAGUUGGCGGAGUAAUAGCCCACCAAGCCUGCGAUCAGUAACUGGUGUGAGAGCACGACCAGUCACACGGGCACUGAGACACGGGCCCGACUCCUACGGGAGGCAGCAGUAAGGAAUAUUGGUCAAUGGACGCAAGUCUGAACCCAGCCAUGCCGCGUGGAGGAUG